UCAUCCUCGUCCCCAGGCCCAAGCUCGGGCGGCCCUCACAGUGGCCCUGGGUCAGGCUGUUGAUCUGCCUCGGAAUUCCGACGCAGAGGCUUGGUCGCACAGGAUAUGCCUUUCUCCCUAAAAACAUGGCGACCGCAAUGAAUGCAAGGAAGGCUUACUACAAGAAGCAAUAUAUUUUGCACUUGUAAAAACAAAUAAUACUCAAAUUAAGUUAAAAGAAGAGCAGAAACAAGCUGUUCGUCAAAUAGUAAAUGGAAGGGAUGUUAAAUCGUUGAUAUACCAACUUUUACCUUCCAUGUUCAACUACAUUAAUUCGAGAAAAAGAAAUAUUUCUGCCGUGUGAACAGAAACAAUUGUAAUCGUGAUUUCUCCGUUAAACGCACUGAUGGACGACCAAAUAGACAAGCUAAAAACUAACAUGGGUGUUAAGGCAGUUGUUUUACGCCAUGAUGAUCAUGAUCAAGAAAUGAAAGGUGUGUACAAAAUACUUCAUUUUGUUAUUUUUGUAUAUAAUACAUAUGUAUAGACCCCUUGCCUUUUCUGGCAGGAAAAUCUUUAUGAAGCUCCCAAUAGAGCUUAUGGUGACAUGUAUUGAAUAUGCAUCACAAUAUUAUGGAGAUCAAUAAAGAACAUUACAUGACCUGUCUAGGAGAUUUAUCCAUGCAUGACAAGUGAAGUUCCCAUUUGACUAAUCAGACAUAGAACAGAGUGGCAUUUAUAGAAGUGACAUUAAUAUUUAAGAGUAUCAUUAAGUUUCAUCUAUUCUGGAUCACCAUUCUAAAUAAAAACCAACUGGUUGGAAAGUUUAUUGAAAAUAUAAUUAACAUUAAGCAAUCACUAUGAUUGUUCUUGCCAUGUUGGGGAAAUGUUUCCCUUAUUUUCUGGUCAGCAGCUAUUAAAGUGGUAUGCAUUAAAUAAAUUUCUUUUUCUUUUUACAGCUUAUGUAUAAAAAAAGUAUGGAUGUAAGGCCUCAGAGGUUCGCCAACACAUGAGGACAAAAAUAAACAAUUCAACACUGUAAAGUGUUGCAAAGUGCAGAAAGGCAAACAAGAACAAUAGUCAAAAACAGAAACACCAGGCUAGUUAUUAAAAAUAUUAUUGCCCAGCUAAUAAUUCAUAAAAGGGGCAUAUUCAAAAAACAUUUGGUAUAUAAAAAUAUUUAUUGAGUAAUGUUUCAUCACAUUACAGGUGACUUGUUGCUUGUUUUUAACUAGAAUAGUCAAUAACUUAUUUGAGGACUAUGUUUUGAGGCAAAUUUUAACCCAUUGAGCUGCAAUGAGCCCCAGUGCUUCCUACUUACUUUUUUUUACUUGUCUAAUGCCAGACGAUUAAAUUACUUGUCAAUGGAGAAGCUCUGCAGCUUAAUGGGUUAAUGUAAUUAACUUUACAUGUCAAUUAUAGUUAUUACCUAGAUGGUUUAAUAACAAAGGUCAAUAAAUAUGGCAUUGCAUGGAGGUAGAAUGAUUAAUUGGUGCUUGUGUACACUGCAAUGGUUUUCUUUAGGUUAUGUUUUUGUUUUGACUUGUUAUUAAACCAUUGGUGAAAACUAUAACUGAUCUGCAAUGUUUAGUAUAACCAAUUUCUUGUAUAAAUAUUUAUAUUUGUAAUAUUAGUAUAUAUUUAUUAAUAAUCGUAUAUAUUUUUUUGCAUUAAAAAAUUAAGAGCGAUGACUGAUGAAGAACAUUGUGUGUCAUUUACUAUUCCUACAGGAAAGUAGGAUAAUUUUCUUAUAGGAAUUCCUAUAAGAGGAUAUGUCAUACUACAAAACCAGAAUAGUCAAAGUGAUGUAUACUUCAGGGAUGGAUCCAGCAUGAUCUGGUAAGGGGGGUGCAACUUUUUUUAGGGACCCCUAUUUAAAAAAUUUUUUGGGGAACAAAUUUUUUCGCAGAGAGCAAUGACCUUUCCAC